rnacentral:rRNA from 1 species
UACGGGGGGGCAAGCGUUGUCCGGAAUUAUUGGGCGUAAAGAGCUCGUAGGCGGUGUGUCGCGUCGGCCGUGAAAACCUGCAGCUUAACUGUGGGCGUGCGGUCGAUACGGGCAUCACUGGAGUUCGGCAGGGGAGACUGGAAUUCCUGGUGUAGCGGUGAAAUGCGCAGAUAUCAGGAGGAACACCGGUGGCGAAGGCGGGUCUCUGGGCCGAUACUGACGCUGAGGAGCGAAAGCGUGGGGAGCGAACAGG